GAUCCAGGGUUAGAGGAGGGUUCAACUUAACACUUACAUUUAGCAGCUUUGUCUGUGUUAUUAAUAUCAGCAAAACCAGCAAAAACAGGGUUAGAGUGCUCUGUCACUUUGAAAUAAAUAUAUUACAAAAGGGAAUUACAGAACAAUGUCUCUAGCCUGUAUCGUUGGAUUCGUCAUGAUUCUUUUUGUUUUAUUUUGUGCAACUGCUGCUGCGAGUUUUCCAUAUGAGGCCAGUGGAGAGACGGUACAGACAAUCACCUUUAAGGAAGAUCAGUGUAAUCCUUCCAAGAUGGCCGUAAAAUGUUGUAUAUGUUUGAAAACGUUGACGAAAUACUUACCCAUUAUAAAUGCUAUAAUUGACAAGAAAAUAAAUUCUGUAUGCAGUCCUGGCUUAUUUUUAUGGAGAACUUGUAGAAGAAUUGCCAGAAUAGCGAAAUUCUUGGUCAUCAAAGGAUAUUUCCCAGGAAGUCCUCAAAGAUCCUGCAUUAAGUAUAAAAUGUGCAAAAGGAUUGAUUAAACAUAAACUAACAAGUCAAUCAAAAUAUCAGAUAUUUAGGGAAGAUUGUUUACUUUGUUUUGUCAAAAGGAUGAGGUAAUAAAUGUUUUAAAUGCAAAAGCAGUGUGAUCAGAUUAUUCAUUCGGUUUUUUUUAAAAAAUACAUCUAAAAUACACAUAACUUACAUCUGAAACAUGAAGCAAUAAUCUAAUAAUGCUGAUGGUUAUUUAGCCAUUUACACUAUUUUACUUAUAAUCUAGUGGUUUAAUCUGUACAUCAGCUUUGAUUAUGUCACAGACAUUCAGUUAUCUUUGUCUUAGUUUGUAUUCAUUAUUCAUCUUUAUUCAUUCAUCUUUGUUUAGUUUCCCGCCACUUAUGAGUUGUCAUGGAGAUUCAUUGAGUCAUCAUAGGUGUUUGUCAUUAAUUGUUUGCUUGUGUGGAUUAUUAAAGCCAUUUUUUUAACCUGA